AGCCUGUACGGAAAGAAGAAAAAGAACGGAUGAUGUAUAGGCCUUUGGAGCCUUGGACCCAGGUUCAAAUCCUGGCGGGGCUA
rnacentral:tRNA from 1 species